CCGGGAUGGCAUCCCUGUGUCCCCCAAACCCCACAAGGACCAUCCCAGGUGAUGUUCCUGAGGGUCUGAGCACCCCAAAACCCCCUGGAUUGGUGUCCCCAGGGUCCUGUGCACCCCAAAUCCCCCAAGGUUGAUGUCCCUGAGGGUCUGAGCACCCCAAACCCCACAGGAACCCCCUCAGGGUUGGGAGCCGGGUGAAGCCCUCCCCAAACCCCCCUCUCAGGGCAAGGGCAGCACCCCAAACCCCCCUUUAGAGCUGGGGGGGGACCUCCCAAACCCCACCCAGCCCCAGGAACCCUCCUGGAUUGGUGUCCCCAGGGUCCUGAACACCCCAAAUCCCCCAGAGACCCCUCUGGGUGGGUGUCCAUAGGGUCCUGUGCACCCCAAACCCCACAGGGACUAUCCCAGGUGAUGUCCCUGAAGGUCUGUGCACCCCAAACCCCACUGGGGUGAUGUCCUUGAAGGUCUGAGCGCCCCAAAACAACCAGGACUGAUGUCCCCAGGGUCCUGUGUACCCCAAACUCCCCAGGGACCCCUCUGGGUUGGUUUCCUCAGGGUCCUGUGCACCCCAAACCUUCUCAGGGUUGAUGUCCCCAGGGUCCUGUGCACCCCAAACCCCCCAGGGUUGAUGUCCUUGAGGUUCUGAGCACCCCAAACCCCACAGGGACCCCCCUGGGUUGGUGUCACCAGGAUCCUGUGCACCCCAAACACCCCACCAGGAUCAUCCCAGCUGAUGUUUCUGAGGGUCUGAGCACCCCAAACCCCCCAGGGACCCCCUCAGGGUUGGGAACCGGGUGAAGCCCUCCCCUCCCAGGGCAAGGGCAGCACCCCAAUCCCUCCCCAGCCUCUCCAGAUCCCAUUCUGUGCACUUGGGGGGGGACGGGGGGGCUUCCCAAAUUUGGGAUGGGAGCGGGAAAGGGGGCUCUGUGUGUGUUUGUGUG